rnacentral:rRNA from 1 species
UGGGGAAUUUUGGACAAUGGGGGCAACCCUGAUCCAGCAAUGCCGCGUGAGUGAAGAAGGCCUUCGGGUUGUAAAGCUCUUUUGUCAGGGAAGAAACGGUAGUAGCGAAUAACUAUUACUAAUGACGGUACCUGAAGAAUAAGCACCGGCUAACUACGUGCCAGCAGCCGCGGUAAUACGUAGGGUGCAAGCGUUAAUCGGAAUUACUGGGCGUAAAGCGUGCGCAGGCGGUUGUGUAAGUCAGAUGUGAAAUCCCCGGGCUCAACCUGGGAAUUGCAUUUGAGACUGCACGGCUAGAGUGUGUCAGAGGGGGGUAGAAUUCCACGUGUAGCAGUGAAAUGCGUAGAUAUGUGGAGGAAUACCGAUGGCGAAGGCAGCCCCCUGGGAUAACACUGACGCUCAUGCACGAAAGCGUGGGGAGCAAACAGGAUUAGAU